UCCGGUGGCAAUAGCGGAGGUUAAAAACCCGUUCCCAUACCGAACACGGAAGUGAAGCCCUCCAGCGCCGAUGGUACUGCUAUUGCGGGAGAGUAGGUCGCUGCCGGAU
rnacentral:rRNA from 1 species